GUGACCUCAAAUCAGGUAGGACUACCCGCUGAACUUAAGCAUAUCAAUAAGCGGAGGAAAAGAAACUAACAAGGAUUCCCUAGUAACUGCGAGUGAAGCGGGAAAAGCUCAAAUUUAAAAUCUGUCAGUCUUUGGCUGUCCGAGUUGUAAUCUAGAGAAGUGUUAUCUGCGCUGGACCAUGUAUAAGUCUCCUGGA
rnacentral:rRNA from 1 species